CACGUAGGGCGCAAGCGUUGUCCGGAAUUAUUGGGCGUAAAGGGCGCGUAGGCGGCCUAGCAAGUGGAUGGUGAAAUCCCUCGGCUUAACCGAGGAACUGCCAUCCAGACUGCUUGGCUUGAGACCGGGAGAGGUGAGUGGAAUUCCCAGUGUAGCGGUGAAAUGCGUAGAUAUUGGGAGGAACACCAGUGGCGAAGGCGGCUCACUGGACCGGUACUGACGCUGAGGCGCGAAAGCGUGGGGAGCAAACGGG
rnacentral:rRNA from 1 species